GUUGUUCCUUUUAUGGACAGAUUAGUAAGUGCAUACUUAAGUAUUUAAAGGUGUCUGUCUUUCUGAAAGAAUACAAAAAAAGGAAAGAAGAAAGAAAAGGACAUCCUCUCUUUCGAAAGUACAGAAAAAAAAAGAAAGUCAUGAUCGUGUCUAAUACGCAUGAUCGCAACGGAAACGUGCCGCAGUGUUACGGUAUAAAUCGAACGAAAGGAACACUGCAGUCGCGUAUCAACAUUACGAAAGAAUCGAUCGUUUCCUCGGAAGAUAAACUGAGAAAUCCAGUGAGAAGUCUUUCUUUGUCCAGUCGACGCGGCAAAUACGUCCGCUACUAAGCGUUUCAGUAAAAUGUAAUACAAAGAGAUGGUAUCGAAGACGAUACUGGAUGUAAGAAUUGACCUUGAUGAUGGUUUGACGUUUGUUGCGCGUGAUGUGGAGUAUGAUGGGGUGUUUGAUAUGGAGUCAUGAAUGGAGUUUGUCCAGAAGGAGUAUAAGGUGUAUUUGGAUACGUAUGUAUUCCACCAUAAGCUGUGGUACUAGCUGCCCCUGGAGUAUGUGGUGGAUAAUGAUGUGGUGUCUGAUUUGCUACUUGCGACAAGGAAUGCAACAUAUGAUGUGGUGUAGUGUGAUACGGUGUCCUGGAAGUCAAAGCACCAUGUGGAGUACCUGGUGUAGAUUGGCCAGGUAUUGGAUCUCGAAAAUGUUCUUUGAACCAACGGAAUAAAUCAUUAACUCUACUAAACAUUUGUCCUCUAAAUUUAAAGCCAUCUGGUGAAACGCUAACGUAUUCAUGACGGCAUCGAAUUCUGGGUAAAUAUGAAAGGAGGAAUUUUCCUGGAUAAUUCUGAAACAUAAGAAGUAAAGCUAGAGAAACGUUUAUGAUUUAUGAGAAAAAAAUAUGAUGUAAUACUUCACAUAUUAAUCGUACCUUAGCUGCAGAUAUAAUAUAUGGAAUUCCUCCUGGAUUUUGUUUCUUUUGUUCUUUCAAUAUAUCUUCGGCUUUAUCUUUUACACCUUCCACAUUUGCUUUAUAAUAUUUAAAAUCUAAUAAUUCCGAAGCAUAUGCAGCCAUUGGAUUGACGUGUCUAGCAAUUAUUUCAUCUAGAUCUUCAAAUUCUUCAUUACCUAUCC